rnacentral:rRNA from 1 species
UCCUGGCUCAGAACGAACGCUGGCGGCAAGCUUAACACAUGCAAGUCGAACGGAUUAUUCUUGUAGCUUGCUAUGAGAAUAAUUAGUGGCAGACGGGUGAGUAAUGCAUAGGAAUCUACCUAGUAGUAUAGGAUAGCCACUAGAAAUGGUGGGUAAUACUGUAUAAUCCCUGCGGGGGAAAGAUUUAUCGCUACAUGAUGAGCCUAUGUUAGAUUAGCUAGUUGGUGGGGUAAUGGCCUACCAAGGCAGUGAUCUAUAGCUGGUCUGAGAGGAUGAUCAGCCACACUGGAACUGAGACACGGUCCAGACUCCUACGGGAGGCAGCAGUGGGGAAUAUUGGACAAUGGGCGCAAGCCUGAUCCAGCUAUGCCGCGUGAGUGAGGAAGGCCUUAGGGUUGUAAA